AGAGUUUGAUUCUGGCUCAGGAUGAACGCUGGCGGCACGCUUAACACAUGCAAGUCGAGCGGAGUGAUAUAUGGAAGAUUUCGGUUGGAAGUAUAGAACUUAGCGGCGGACGGGUGAGGAACGCGUGGGUAACCUGCCCUGUACAGGGGGAUAACACAGAGAAAUCUGUGCUAAAACCGCAUAAGCUUACGGGACCGCAUGGUCUUGUGAGAAAAAACUCCGGUGGUACAGGAUGGGCCCGCGUCUGAUUAGCUAGUUGGAGAGGUAAGAGCUCACCAAGGCGACGAUCAGUAGCCGGUCUGAGAGGAUGGACGGCCACAUUGGGACUGAGACACGGCCCAA
rnacentral:rRNA from 1 species